CAAAAUAGUCAUGAAAAUUGUGCAUUGAAUGUUGGCUCAUUUUCCCAAACUUUCCCAUGAUGAUGGAAAAUAAAACUCAAGUUAAGAGGAGGGCUUCACUUUCCCCUGUACUUUCCCAUGUGCCAGCCAACCAUUUCUCAUGUCUGGACUUACCAAACAUGAGAAAGCAAUUAAAUUCCCAUUCCCAAGCCUCCUUUCCCAUGAAAUGGGGUCUAGGUGUAUAGAUUACCUUAUUUCUAUUUUUAGCAUUUCAGUAAACGUCUUUGUCCUUUUACUUUUAUUUAUUUUUAUAUAUAUUACUGUCACUCCCCGAACCUGGGGGUCAGUGGAAAUCCCUCGCCUAGUGCGUGAGAAAAAAAUUAAAAAUAAAAAAAAGAAAAAGAAAGAAGUUGUUUAAAAUCAACUUCUCUUAUAAAAAUAGCUCCAAAAUCUUACAACUUAACAAUAAAUAAAUAAACAAAUAAAGCUCUAUUACUCUUAUCUAAUUCAGUCUCAACUGGUUUAGUCCUUGUCUUACCCUUUAAUUCAUAUGAAAAAUUAAACAGGACGAGGGAUGAGCAACCACUACUCAGAAGGACAUAAGACCUUACCACAGUAUAUUGAUAUAAAUAAAUUAAGUGACAUACAAUCACACAACUAAAUAUCACAUUAAUAAUAUUAAUGCAUGAAUGCUCUUCAUCUACUCUCAUUAAUUCAUAUAACUGGACAAGCAAACUUGCACGUCCCAUACCAUGCUUAUACCACUUGGUCCUGAAUGCCCAUUUAUAUGAACUAACAUCCAUUUCAACCAUCCCAUAAUUCCCUUUUUGUUAGUCAUAUUGUCUAACUCCUUGUCGCAAGUCCCGCAUCACCCAAUAAAAAUCAUGUGCGAGAUCCCUGAGAUCUGGUACCAACCAUGCAUUCCACUCAACUAUACAAAAGAUCAUUCCCAUUACCCUCUUUCCACCAUUAUUUUCUCAACCCAAGAACUCCAAAUAAUUUCCAUGACAUGAUAUAGUUCUUCUUUUCACAUAACUCAUAAAAACAAUGUAAUCAUUUAAAUAUCACCAAUAUACAUAUAAUCAUGCCAACAUUAAUUAAAUAAUUAACAACACGUAAACACCCAAUGUCAAGAACAUCCAUCAAAUUAUAAUAUCACGCAUAACAUAGUGCUCACGAAAUUUAAUUAAGUCAAUCCCCGUAAAGGCUCC
rnacentral:lncRNA from 1 species